rnacentral:rRNA from 1 species
AAAAGUGUUGAAAGAUAAAUAUACAAAAGUAUACUAUAUCGGAUUUGAAAUUUUCUCACGAAUGUUUAGGUCAUAAGCGUACAUUUUUAAAAUUAAAAUCAAAAGAAUUUUUAAGCAUGAUGUAAUUUCUUUUAGAUAAAAACUGAAAUUUGGGCUGUUUUAUGCACAUAAAGGUGAUUCUGGAAUGAAAGGGGUGCAUAAUUGACAAAAAGUGAUUGAAUACUUUUUUAUGGCAAAUUUAUGGCAGAUUUAAAAAAAUAUAUUUGAUUUUUUCUAAAAUUAACCUUUGUUCAAUUUAAUUGCGAAAAAGACUGAUUUUAGGCCUAAACCAUACCUAAAUAUAGCCCUGCACCCUGAAUUUUGCAAAAAAAAGUUGUAGUAUUUUUUUCUCUCUUUUAACAAAUAGAAGAGAUUACAAAUGGGGCAUUUGAGAUCUAUUUGUGGUCUCUAUACCACUGCUACUAAAGGUAGAAUGUUAGUUUGAUUUGAUGAUCAAGUUUUGAUUAUGCAGAUGCAUAGUUUGAAGCGUAUUUUCUAACUUCAGAUAUCAUCACGUCUAGUUUUU